CCUGGAAGCUGAUCUCCUGGGCAUAUCAAAGCCCAGUUCUGCAGCAGAGAAGACAACAGUGAAAGGUCCUGAGGAAUGGGGUUCCUUGGGAGAAGGACGAGCUAAAGCCCCAGGGAAGCUGUUAGCUCCUGAGAAAGAGAAGGAAGAGGACUGGAAGAGGAAAGAUGAUGUGUCUGGCGAGUACGAGUCCUCGGUGGCCUCCACACCCAAGAGCCCAGUGGCGAGGAGGCGGUCUGUCAGGUUUUCCAGCGACACGAGCAGCCAAGUGAAAGCAGAGCUGCACCCCAAAGCUGCUCCUGCAGGCAGCAGGCGCACGGU